ACAGCAGUAGCCACGGGAAUACGGAGGGAGCUAGCGUUGUUCGGAAUUACUGGGCGUAAAGCGCGCGUAGGCGGUUACUCAAGUCAGAGGUGAAAGCCCGGGGCUCAACCCCGGAACUGCCUUUGAAACUAGGUGACUAGAAUCUUGGAGAGGUCAGUGGAAUUCCGAGUGUAGAGGUGAAAUUCGUAGAUAUUCGGAAGAACACCAGUGGCGAAGGCGACUGACUGGACAAGUAUUGACGCUGAGGUGCGAAAGCGUGGGGAGCAAACAGGAUUAGAUACCCCAGUAGUCCCUGUCUCUUAUAC
rnacentral:rRNA from 1 species